rnacentral:lncRNA from 1 species
UGAAAGGUUAUAUUUUUCUCCCUUUGGUACCACCAUUUUGUUGCUACUGAGGGACUAUAGAAGAGGGUGGCUACUACUGUUUCAUUAAACCAGGAUCUCUGUGAAGUUCAGCUGCAGAACAUGUGUUCUACUUUUCUUUUGAAAAUGUGCUCCAUUAAAACCACAUUCUUUUGCCAGUCCAAAUUCAUGAAAGUCUACAUGUCUCUGUUUGAAUUAUCCAAAUUCUGCCUGUGAGGCAAAGGAUGUAAAGUAAAAAUGACGAAGCCACAACACAACAGUCUUGAAAGUCGCCAGUUGUUGUAUGGCUGAUUGAGAUUCGGCAACUGCACCAGUUGAGAAAAGAGCCAAGACAGGUGAUAGUGACCAGUAUACAGCUGUGUGGAGCCAGCACUCAUAGGCUGGUGCCUGUUAAAGGCUUGAAAGAGCCUUCCAGUAAUUUUAUUGGCCUCAAAACUGGAAGUGGCAUCUUGUAUUCUUCAAUAGAAUCCGGAAUUGAGGCCUGAUGAAGGACUUAUUACAAAUAAAUAAUGAUAUAAUAUAAAGAAUAAUACCAUACAAUUAUAAUAUAAUAAUAAAUAAAAUAAUUUGUCCCUAUCACAGGUAAUCUUUCCAAUCCCCCAGAACAAAUGGGAAGAGAAAUAACUAUCGUGUCUAAUCAGAAAUCACUUGCAAUUUCAAACAACUAUUUAUCAGGACCUCUUGAAAUAAGACAUUCUAAUCCUGGAAAUUUACAAAAGAUGCAAUGAGAGAGCAUCUACACUACUUUCUGAUAGAAAAAUUACACAGCCCCAGAUGUCAGCAACAAAUACCAGCUGAAGAUCCUGAAAAAGACCAAGCCAAACAAAUACUGCAGCAGACACGGAACACCCACUCUGCAGCAGACUGAAAACCAGUAAGUAACUGAUCGAUGGAUCCAAAGACUCUCCCUUUUUCCUCUGUGUGUUUACAAAGGUCCCCAACUGGCUCUGUCCCUGAGCUCAAUUUAAU